ACAAGCAGCUCAGCUGGAGGUUUCUUGUGUUGCCUGAAGAUGAACAGGCAGAGUUGGAGCACCAAAGGAAGGAAAACCUGCAAAGCUGGAGUGGAGGCUGAGACCACCAAGAGGGAAACUGAGAGACAUGCUGAAGGGGGAGUGAGGAUACCCAGGGCAAAGCUGGAGAGAGCUGUCUGAGUGGUAUGAUCCUGGGACCCCCAACCACAGUACCACCAUCCACUGUCCAGCCAGGAUUCUUCCUAUUCUUCCUUCAGUGGAAAAACCAGGCCCUUCUGUGAGACUUCUUGCUCUGUUCCAGUGAUGCAAUCUGUGCCCAACUCACCCAGGGCUGACAUGGGCCAUGUCCUUCUGUGGCCUGUUUUGUUUUCCAGGAGGUAUCCACGAAUACAAUCCCCCACAACUCUUGCUCCCCACAAUCCUAGAACCAGGUUUGCCAGCCCCAAUAUACUGAGGAAAACAUUGUGUUGAA